UCAAAGUGAAUUUAUUCCAUAUUUCUAACUUUUUCUUCUCUUCAUAUCUAUCUCUUCACUUCCAUCAUUAUGGAUGCAAUCUGUCAGAUUUUUCUCCCUCAGUUAUCCAUAAUAAUCCCAAACAAAUCUUCAAUCCCACUCAACUCAAAUACAAAUCUAUUUUCCUAAUCAACAGUUUUUACUUCACGUCUUUUUAAUUUAAUUUGCCUUUGAGAAUUGAAGGAAAUAGAUCCCAAUAACCCACACAAACUACAGCCAUAACAAAUGGAGAACGAGGACAAGAAAUCGGCGGUUUCCAUAUGUAGGAGCGUAGGACAUGAACAUCGUCAGUUCCGUUGAGGAGUUAGACGACGGUGAUGAAAAAGGUAUGCACAGUUCUUCAUUGGACCACAGUUGUCGGCCGAUGCAACUAUGAGAGAAAUUAAAGCUGUUUACUUGAAUGAGUUGAAGGCUGAAUUUUGUUAAUACUGUGAGGUCUGGAGACAUUUUUCUCAUUUAGAUGUGUGCAUAUGAGAAUUGGAGUACUUUUUAUAGCAUAAUCUGAUUUUGUUGAAAUUGUUAUAUCACAUCAGAAAUAUAAUCACUUUUAUCAUAAUUGAGAAUGGUAUAUAAUAGUAAAUUUAUUUUUAUUUGUUUAAGAA